rnacentral:rRNA from 1 species
UACGGAGGGUGCGAGCGUUGUCCGGAAUUAUUGGGCGUAAAGGGCUCGUAGGCGGUUUGUCACGUCGGGAGUGAAAACUCAGGGCUCAACCUUGAGCCUGCUUCCGAUACGGGCAGACUAGAGGUAUGCAGGGGAGAACGGAAUUCCUGGUGUAGCGGUGAAAUGCGCAGAUAUCAGGAGGAACACCGGUGGCGAAGGCGGUUCUCUGGGCAUUACCUGACGCUGAGGAGCGAAAGUGUGGGGAGCGAACAGG